rnacentral:rRNA from 1 species
UGGGGAAUUUUGCGCAAUGGAGGAAACUCUGACGCAGCAACGCCGCGUGGACGAUGAAGGCCCUUGGGUCGUAAAGUCCUGUAAGGUGGGACGAAAUAAAUGACGGUACCACCAAAGUAAGCUCCGGCUAACUUCGUGCCAGCAGCCGCGGUAAUACGAGGGGAGCAAGCGUUGUUCGGAAUCAUUGGGCGUAAAGGGCGCGUAGGCGGUCUGGCAAGUCUAAGGUGAAAUCCCUCGGCUCAACCGAGGAACUGCCUUGGAAACUGCCGGACUUGAGUUCCGGAGAGGAAAGCAGAAUUCCCAGUGUAGCGGUGAAAUGCGUAGAUAUUGGGAGGAAUACCGGUGGCGAAGGCGGCUUUCUGGACGGAAACUGACGCUGAGGCGCGAAAGCUAGGGGAGCAAACGGG